UUUCUAGUUCUUCAUGGUGUUACUCUUGAUUUGAGACCUCAGUCAUAUUCUUGCUCAAUUGUCUUUUCUAGCACAGCAAAAUUUGUUGGGGGGCUUGCACAAAGGCACUUGUGGGCUCUGUGAGUCUAGAGCUUGUGACUUGUGGAAUUCUUAAUAUGUGUGCACUAUCCUUCCUGGUCUUCCAUUUAUUCUCUGUAUGUUUUGUACUUAAAAGAUAAGAGGAGAUUUUUAUGUAUCCACUAAGGGUUUGUUUUAUUCCUUGUUUCUCAAAUUAUAUUUAAUUUAUUUAGUUUUAAAGAAGACAAUAUCUUCAUACCCAUCACAGAGCUGUCCCUUUCUCUGCACAGCUAUCCUGGCAUCUUUGACCAUCUUUGAUUUCUGUUCAGAGGCUGCAGCAUGUCUUUAGAUACAGUAAUAGUGGCUGCUUUAGGAGUGAGAGAAAACUGGUCUUUUGUUUGACAUCCUCCUGAAAUUCAGGGAAGUUUUUAUGAAAGGCAAGAAUUGAAUGACGUGUGUGAAGGAAUGCAACUUUCCCUCUCUGGACAUGAAACAGGCUUGACAGAGCCUUGGGGAACACGACGUGACCAUGCUGGGGUGCUGUGGCUGUGCACAGACCUGGCCUUUUCCAGGGUCAGCCUUUACUGAUCUGUAGAUAUUCCUGUUUGGAAACAAACUGUUAAUACACAUCCAUAAAUGUUUUAAGGUCACCUACUUGCAUUGUGAAAUCUGUCAGAGGAAGCAUGUAAUAGGAUGUUUUUGUUAAUAUUUGGCUACUAGAAAUAAACACAUCUUAAACAAACAAAGAUUUGCUAACAGCUUUCUGUCUCUCCUCUGAAUUAACAAUUCUUUCUGCCUUUGGAGUGGGAAGCAGGGCUGUGAGUACUUCUCAGGCACUUAGUGCUGAAGUGUCUUGAGUGCUUUAGAUGAAGAUCGUUAAAAUGGUGAGAGCACUCUCGAGGGUUCCUGGCUGGAGGAGCACAGACAGCACGAACAACACAAGGCUGGGAAUGGAGGGGGAAGCAUCCUGGGCAGCACGGCACCUCUGGCACGGUCAGAUGGAGCACAGCAGCCAUCCACGACUUCUCCUUUAAAUCUGUCAUGCAGCUGUCUGAACUCUGAAAUUUCUUUCACUCUCUCCCUUGCCUUGUUAACAUGUGUUGCCUUUGGGGUAAUCAGGGAAAAAAUAUUAUGUCCUUUUACAAUUACCGGGUUUUGGAAUAUUAAAAUGUCUCUCUGCAUCGGC